GCUGGGGUUGCUCAGAGGUAGAGCACUCACCUAGCAAGUUGGAGGCCCUGGGUUCAAUCCUCAGCACCACA
rnacentral:tRNA from 1 species